GGACAAUGGAGGAGACAAGUGCAUGAAGCACAACCUUUCGUAGGGUCCGUAGAAUAAUUUAAUCUUCUGGAUUGAUCAUUUAAAGGAUUCCGCCAUACUUAAAACCAACCCAAGUUCGUCAAGGCAAGCAGACACAGUGGAAUUAUAGUGUUUUGGUAGAGGAAGAAGAAUCACUGAGAGCAUCAUGGCGAGAGUGGGUAGAAUGAAGUUGGGUUCUCAAGGGUUGGAGGUGUCUGUGCAGGGAUUGGGGUGCAUGGGAAUGUCUUCGAACUACGGUCCUGCUAAGCCAGAACCUGAUAUGAUUGCUCUUAUAUAUUCACCAUGCUGUUCAAAGUGGUGUAACUUUUCUCGACAGUGCUGACAUCUACGGUCCUUACACCAACGAAGUCCUGUUAGGAAAGGCUCUGAAGGGAGGGUGGAGAGAUAAGGUUGAAUUGGCUACCAAGUUUGCAAUCAAAGUCACACCUGAAGGGAAAAGGGAGAUACGAGGUGAUCCAGAAUAUGUGAGGGCUGCUUGUGAGGACAGCUUGAAGAGACUUGAGAUCGAUUUCAUUGAUCUCUAUUACCAACAUCGUGUUGAUACUCGUGUGCCUAUUGAAGUCACGGUUUCACCCUUUCUCUGUGCUUUCCUCUAUUUGUCUUUUCUUUGGUGACAUAUUUGGCUACACUGAUAAUAUGCUUGUAGGAAAUUUUAAACUCAUUGAUCACUCCUGUGUAUUUUGACAUCAUGAAAUUUGUGUUUGACAUGAGAUAUAAUCAUUUGCUCACAUAUGGAAAAGGAUAACCUAUGAUGACUUCAAGUUUUUGCCUUGUUUCUGCAUUGUAAGGUUGGGGAGCUCAAAAAACUUGUUGAGGAGGGAAAGAUAAAAUAUAUUGGUCUGUCUGAGGCCUCAACUUCAACAAUCAGAAGAGCACAUGCAGUUCAUCCGAUAACAGCAGUGCAGUUGGAGUGGUCGCUAUGGUCAAGAGAUGUCGAGGAAGAAAUAGUUCCAACUUGCAGGGAACUUGGCAUUGGAAUUGUUGCAUAUAGUCCUCUUGGGCGAGGGUUCUUGUCAUCAGGAACAAAGCUGCUUGAGAAUUUGGCACCGGAUGAUUCCCGGAAGUUUCUGCCCAGAUUCAAACCUGGAAAUGUAGAGCACAAUAAUAUUAUAUUUGAGAAGGUUAAGGAACUGGCUACAAAAAAGGGAUGUACUACAUCUCAACUUGCACUGGCAUGGGUUCAUCACCAAGGAAACGACGUGUGCCCAAUACCUGGAACAACCAAAAUUGAGAACUUUAAUGAUAACCUUGGCGCUUUGUCUGUCAAACUAACACCAGAAGAAAUAGCAGAACUUGAGUCCUUUGCUGCUGAAGAUAUCAAGGGUGGUAGAUACAUGGAUGGGGCAAAUACAUGGAAGACUGCUAAUACUCCACCACUUUCUUCUUGGAAAGCUGCAUGAUCAAAUCAAGUGCAUUGCUUAAUGCUUGUACCAUUGUAUGACUCUGCUAGUAGUACCAUGUGCAUUUGCU
rnacentral:sRNA from 1 species